AUCCAUCUUUCUCUGGGUUUACCACGAGGUCUCUCCUCUUUGUCCUUUAAUACAAAAAAAAAAAAAAAAAUGACGGACAUACUUCGCACGAUGUUAGUAGGCACGUGGGCACGAUGGCCACUGUUAUAGGUGAGAAGUUGGGAAGGUAGGAUUUAGAGGGGUUUAGAUUAAUUUAAUGUGCAUCUGUACGAAAUCAUUGCUAAAGAAAAACGAUUAUGAGCAGAGUUGGGUAACACAUGUUUUGAUAAAGUUAUAAUAUUUACGAUUAA